rnacentral:ncRNA from 2 species
AUUCCAUGCUAGGGGAGCCUCGUUAAAUUGCAAAAUGCAAAUUGAAAAAUGCAGAAUGAAAAAUACUCAAUUUAAAGUUUGCAUUUUACAAGGAAGCAAUUUCAGGGCUGAGAGUCCCCUCCCCCUGUCCCCCUCAUGGAGGGGGACAGGGGGAGGGGAGACCCUAACAACCUGAUCUGGGUAAUACCAGCGUAGGGAAGCGGCAAGAAAAAGAU